AUGAGAUAUAACAUAUCUGAAGCUGCUUUUUAGCAACAAUAUCUCUAAGAAAGUGGAAAUCCAUUUCAAUUUGCUUCGUCCGAGUGUGGAAAAUGGGAUUGAUGGAUGGGUAAGUGGCACCCACAUUAUCAAACCAAAGAGUCGAGCAUGUAGAAGAAGGAUAGCCAAUGUCAUAGAGUAAUGAUUGAAGCUAAAUUACGUCUAUUGUAGCAGCACCCACUGCAUGAUAUUCAGCUUCUGUAAAGUUUUUGGCCACGGUUGGUGUUUUCGUGGACACCAAGAGAUAAGAUUUGCAACUAGAAACGCUAUGUAACUAGUAACAGAUUUUUGGUCAUCGGGAUUUGUG
rnacentral:misc_RNA from 1 species